CAGUCGAGGGGUAACAGGGAGCUUGCUCCGCUGACGACCGGCGCACGGGUGCGCACCGCGUAUGGAACCUACCUUGUACAGGGGAAUAGCCCAGGGAAACUUGGAUUAAUGCCCCGUAGUACCAUGACCCGGCAUCGGGAUGUGGUUAAAGCCUUCGGGCGGUACAAGAUGGCCAUGCGUCCCAUUAGUUUGUUGGUAAGGUAACGGCUUACCAAGACUACGAUGGGUAGGGGCCCUGAGAGGGGGAUCCCCCACACUGGUACUGAGACACGGACCAGACUCCUACGGGAGGCAGCAGUGAGGAAUAUUGGACAAUGGAGGAGACUCUGAUCCAGCCAUGCCGCGUGCAGGAAGAAUGCCCUAUGGGUAGUAAACUGCUUUUAUACAGGAAGAAAAAGAGCUACGUGUAGCUUACUGACGGUACUGUAAGAAUAAGGACCGGCUAACUCCGUGCCAGCAGCCGCGGUAAUACGGAGGGUCCGAGCGUUAUCCGGAAUUAUUGGGUUUAAAGGGUCCGUAGGCGGGCCGAUAAGUCAGGGGUGAAAGUUUGCAGCUCAACUGUAAAAUUGCCUUUGAUACUGUUGGUCUUGAGUUAUAGUGAAGUUGCCGGAAUAUGUAGUGUAGCGGUGAAAUGCAUAGAUAUUACAUAGAACACCGAUUGCGAAGGCAGGUGACUAACUAUAUACUGACGCUGAUGGACGAAAGCGUGGGGAGCGAACAGGAUUAGAUACCCUGGUAGUCCACGCCGUAAACGAUGGAUACUAGCUGUCCGAGGCCUUGAGUYUUGGGCGGCCAAGCGAAAGUGAUAAGUAUCCCACCUGGGGAGUACGUUCGCAAGAAUGAAACUCAAAGGAAUUGACGGGGGCCCGCACAAGCGGUGGAGCAUGUGGUUUAAUUCGAUGAUACGCGAGGAACCUUACCAGGGCUUAAAUGCAUAUUGACAGGUCUAGAGAUAGAUUUUCCUUCGGGCAAUUUGCAAGGUGCUGCAUGGUUGUCGUCAGCUCGUGCCGUGAGGUGUCAGGUUAAGUCCUAUAACGAGCGCAACCCCUACCGUUAGUUGCCAGCAUGUCAUGAUGGGGACUCUAACGGGACUGCCGGUGCAAACCGUGAGGAAGGUGGGGAUGACGUCAAAUCAUCACGGCCCUUACGUCCUGGGCCACACACGUGCUACAAUGGCAGGUACAGAGAGCAGCCAUGUCGCAAGGCAGAGCGAAUCUAUAAAACCUGUCACAGUUCGGAUCGGGGUCUGCAACUCGACCCCGUGAAGCUGGAAUCGCUAGUAAUCGGAUAUCAGCCAUGAUCCGGUGAAUACGUUCCCGGGCCUUGUACACACCGCCCGUCAAGCCAUGGAAGCUGGGAGUGCCUGAAGUCCGUCACCGUAAGG
rnacentral:rRNA from 1 species